rfam:Schistosoma margrebowiei strain Zambia genome assembly, scaffold: SMRZ_scaffold0000296
AUCCAGCUGAUAAGUCCUAAACAGGACGAAACGCGCGUCCUGGAU